rnacentral:rRNA from 1 species
AGAGUUUGAUCAUGGCUCAGGAUGAACGCUAGCGAUAGGCCUAACACAUGCAAGUCGAGGGGCAGCACAUGAAGUAGCAAUACGGAUGGUGGCGACCGGCGCACGGGUGAGUAACGCGUAUGCAACCUGCCUACAACAGGGGAAUAACCCGUUGAAAGACGGACUAAUACCCCAUAACACAGGGAUCCCGCAUGGGAAUAUUUGUUAAAGAUUUAUCGGUUGUAGAUGGGCAUGCGUUCCAUUAGCUUGUUGGUGAGGUAACGGCUCACCAAGGCAACGAUGGAUAGGGGAACUGAGAGGUUUAUCCCCCACACUGGUACUGAGACACGGACCAGACUCCUACGGGAGGCAGCAGUGAGGAAUAUUGGUCAAUGGACGCAAGUCUGAACCAGCCACGUCGCGUGAAGGAAGACGGCCCUACGGGUUGUAAACUUCUUUUGUAAGGGAAUAAAGUGUAGUACGUGUACUAUUUUGCAUGUACCUUACGAAUAAGGAUCGGCUAACUCCGUGCCAGCAGCCGCGGUAAUACGGAGGAUCCGAGCGUUAUCCGGAUUUAUUGGGUUUAAAGGGUGCGCAGGCGGGAGAUUAAGUCGGCGGUGAAAUUUUGCAGCUCAACUGUAAAAGUGCCUUCGAAACUGGUUUCCUUGAGUGUGGAUGAAGUAGGCGGAAUUUGUGGUGUAGCGGUGAAAUGCAUAGAUAUCACGAGGAACUCCGAUUGCGCAGCAGCUUACUAAACCAUAACUGACGCUCAGGCACGAAGCGUGGGGAUCAAACAGGAUUAGAUACCCUGGUAGUC